rnacentral:rRNA from 1 species
GAUGAACGCUGGCGGCGUGCCUAAUACAUGCAAGUCGAGCGAACAGACGAGGAGCUUGCUCCUCUGACGUUAGCGGCGGACGGGUGAGUAACACGUGGAUAACCUACCUAUAAGACUGGGAUAACUUCGGGAAACCGGAGCUAAUACCGGAUAAUAUAUUGAACCGCAUGGUUCAAUAGUGAAAGACGGUUUUGCUGUCACUUAUAGAUGGAUCCGCGCCGCAUUAGCUAGUUGGUAAGGUAACGGCUUACCAAGGCAACGAUGCGUAGCCGACCUGAGAGGGUGAUCGGCCACACUGGAAGUGAGACACGGUCCAGACUCCUACGGGAGGCAGCAGUAGGGAAUCUUCCGCAAUGGGCGAAAGCCUGACGGAGCAACGCCGCGUGAGUGAUGACGGUGUUCGGAUCGUAAAACUCUGUUAUUAGGGAAGAACAAAUGUGUAAGUAACUAUGCACGUCUUGACGGUACCUAAUCAGAAAGCCACGGCUAACUACGUG